CCUACGGGCGGCAGCAGUGGGGAAUAUUGCACAAUGGGGGGAACCCUGAUGCAGCAACGCCGCGUGGGUGAAGAAGUAGUGCGGAAGGUAAAGCCCUGUCAGCAGGGAAGAAAAUGACGGUACCUGACCAAGAAGCCCCGGCUACCGACGUGCCAGCAGCCGCGGUAAUACGCAGGGGGCAAGCGUUAUCCGGAUUUACUGGGUGUAAAGGGAGCGUAGACGGCAAGGCAAGUCUGGAGUGAAAGCCCGUGGCCCAACCACGGGACUGCUUUGGAAACUGUGUUGCUGGAGUGCAGGAGGGGUAAGCGGAAUUCCUAGUGUAGCGGUGACAUGCGUAGAUCUUAGGAGGAACCCCGGUGGCGAAGGCGGCUUACUGGACUGUAACUGACGUUGAGGCUCGAAGUCGUGGGGAGCAAACAGGAUUAGAUACCCGGGUAGUC
rnacentral:rRNA from 1 species